rnacentral:rRNA from 1 species
GUUGUAUAGUCAAGUAAUUAAGUGCAUGUGGUGGAUGCCUUGGCAGUCAGAGGCGAUGAAAGACGUGAUAGCCUGCGAAAAGCUCCGGGGAGGCGGCAAAUAUCCUUUGAUCCGGAGAUGUCUGAAUGGGGGAACCCACCUACUUUAAGGUAGGUAUUGCAACAUGAAUACAUAGUGUUGCAAGGCGAACGAGGGGAAGUGAAACAUCUCAGUACCCUUAGGAAAAGAAAUCAAUUGAGAUUCCCUCAGUAGCGGCGAGCGAACGGGGAUCAGCCCAUUAAGUUAUGUGUGUUUUAGUGGAACGCUCUGGGAAGUGCGAACGUAGAGGGUGAUAUUCCCGUACACGAAAGGGCACACAUAAUGAUGACGAGUAGGGCGAGGCACGUGAAACCUUGUCUGAAUAUGGGGGGACCAUCCUCCAAGGCUAAAUACUCCUGACUGACCGAUAGUGAACCAGUACCGUGAGGGAAAGGCGAAAAGAACCCCUGUGAGGGGAGUGAAAUAGAUCCUGAAACCGCAUGCAUACAAGCAGUGGGAGCACCUUCGUGGUGUGACUGCGUACCUUUUGUAUAAUGGGUCAGCGACUUAUAUUCAGUAGCAAGGUUAACCGUAUAGGGGAGCCGUAGAGAAAUCGAGUCUUAAUAGGGCGUUUAGUUGCUGGGUAUAGACCCGAAACCAGGCGAUCUAUCCAUGAGCAGGUUGAAGGUUGGGUAACACUAACUGGAGGACCGAACCCACUGUCGUUGAAAAGCCAGGGGAUGACUUGUGGAUAGGGGUGAAAGGCUAAUCAAGCCUGGUGAUAGCUGGUUCUCCCCGAAAGCUAUUUAGGUAGCGCCUCGGACGAAUACCAUAGGGGGUAGAGCACUGUUUCGGCUAGGGGGUCAUCCCGACUUACCAAACCGAUGCAAACUCCGAAUACCUAUGAGUACUAUCCGGGAGACAGACUGCGGGUGCUAACGUCCGUAGUCAAGAGGAAAACAAUCCAGACCGCCAGCUAAGGCCCCAAAAUCAUAGUUAAGUGGGAAACGAUGUGGGAAGGCAUAGACAGCUAGGAGGUUGGCUUAGAAGCAGCCACCCUUUAAAGAAAGCGUAAUAGCUCACUAGUCGAGUCGGCCUGCGCGGAAGAUGUAACGGGGCUAAAACUAUGUGCCGAAGCUGCGGAUUUGACAUUAGUCAAGUGGUAGGGGAGCGUUCUGUAAGCCGAUGAAGGUGUAUUGAGAAGUAUGCUGGAGGUAUCAGAAGUGCGAAUGCUGACGUGAGUAACGACAAAACGGGUGAAAAACCCGUUCGCCGAAAGACCAAGGGUUCCAGUCCAACGUUAAUCGGGGCUGGGUGAGUCGACCCCUAAGGCGAGGCCGAAAGGCGUAGUCGAUGGGAAAAUGGUUAAUAUUCCAUUACUUCUGUGUAAUGCGAUGAGAGGACGGAGAAGGCUAAAUCAGCCUGGCGUUGGUUGUCCAGGUGAAAGGAUGUAGGCAUGUAUCUUAGGCAAAUCCGGGGUACUCUAUGCUGAGAUCUGAUAGCAAGCUGUACUUGUACAGCGAAGUGGUUGAUGCCAUGCUUCCAGGAAAAGUCUCUAAGCUUCAGUUACACAGGAAUCGUACCCGAAACCGACACAGGUGGUCAGGUCGAGUAGACCAAGGCGCUUGAGAGAACUCUGCUGAAGGAACUAGGCAAAAUGGUACCGUAACUUCGGGAGAAGGUACGCUGUUGUUGGUGAUGGAACUCGCUUCCUGAGCUGACGACAGCCGCAGAAACCAGGCCGCUGCAACUGUUUAUUAAAAACAUAGCACUCUGCAAACACGAAAGUGGACGUAUAGGGUGUGAUGCCUGCCCGGUGCUGGAAGGUUAAUUGAUGGGGUUAGCGUAAGCGAAGCUCUUGAUCGAAGCCCCAGUAAACGGCGGCCGUAACUAUAACGGUCCUAAGGUAGCGAAAUUCCUUGUCGGGUAAGUUCCGACC